rnacentral:rRNA from 1 species
GAUGAACGCUAGCGGGAGGCCUAACACAUGCAAGCCGAGCGGUAUUGUUUCUUCGGAAAUGAGAGAGCGGCGUACGGGUGCGGAACACGUGUGCAACCUGCCUUUAUCUGGGGGAUAGCCUUUCGAAAGGAAGAUUAAUACUCCAUAAUAUAUUGAACGGCAUCGUUUAAUAUUGAAAGCUCCGGCGGAUAGAGAUGGGCACGCGCAAGAUUAGCUAGUUGGUGAGGUAACGGCUCACCAAGGCAAUGAUCUUUAGGGGCCUGAGAGGUGAUCCCCCACACUGGUACUGAGACACGGACCAGACUCCUACGGGAGGCAGCAGUGAGGAAUAUUGGUCAAUGGGUGCAAGCCUGAACCAGCCAUCCCGCGUGAAGGACGACUGCCCUAUGGGUUGUAAACUUCUUUUGAUAGGGAUAAACCUUUCCACGUGUGGAAAGCUGAAGGUACUAUACGAAUAAGCAACCGGCUAACUCCGUGCCAGCAGCCGCGGUAAU